UUUGCAAAAUUCAAAAGUUUCUUUUCUUUUCCUUCCUUAGAGUGUAUAGUAAGAUUAUUUUAAUUUUAUAAGUCGAGCUUAAGAUUCUCUCUUUGAAGUCUUCAUCAGUACCUCAGUCUAUUGACUAUUUCGAUAACUUCACUACUACACUCACUAACACCAUACAUUGCAUUGCUGCUGUGAUAGUAUCCUUGCUGACGUGGUGUUUGAGUAAAAGAUGAUGUGAGGAUUCUUGACGGAUCGAUGGAAGAAAUGUGCGGUAUUCGAUCGUGAGUGAGGGAGGUCUCGAUGUUGAAGAUCAUCGAUGGGUUGCUCUCAUAUGUUGUUAAAACAACAAAGAUCUGCAACGACUGAUGGAACGCACUAACCACUACUGCAACAGUUACGGACUUACAUUAAACCUCAGAAAAACUAAAUGGAUGGUAAUAACAAAAGAUCCACACGCCAGGAAUGAUCUGGUUGUCAAUAACACCGUUAUAGAAAGGGUAUCCUCCUAUAAAUACCUUGGAGCUUGCCUGGAUCAUACAGGCGAUCA
rnacentral:lncRNA from 1 species